UAAAUUUCAAAAAAUAUGCAGAGACAAUCCACACUUGUUAAUAAAUCUUCUAAGAUAAUACAAGGGCAAGCAGUACCGUAGAAUUACUAGAAAUUACGGCAAAUAGGCUAACAUUCAGAAACAUAAACAAGUCCAGGAAAUAAAGAUCAUUACUGAUUGAUUACUGACUGAUAUAUUGCAUGGACAGCAAAAUAAAUUAAGCAAAGUAGAGUAAGAAACAUAAUGAAAUAUAGCUGUAAUGAAUAUCUGUUUAUAAAAAUUAAAUGCAAUAAAUUUAUUUAUCAGCAUAAAUAAGAGUUUGAUCUAACUUGUAAGCAAAAUUGGUAUAUAUUUUUAAACCUAGUUGAAGCUAAAUUUGGAUUGUUAAUGAUUCCAAAUAUUUUAGAAGUUUGUGGCAGGUUUA